AGCUGCCGGCAGACCAGAACCUCAAGCUCAUCGAUCCGCUCUGCAGAAUCGCCGCCAAGACCAAGGACCACAUGCUGGUGCAGACCAUCGCCCGGGCUGUGCUUGAGGCCGUCAUCCAUCGGUCUCCGCUGGCCCCGGAAGAGACCGUCGCCGGACAGCAAGCGGAGGCGGCCGGCACGCGGGGGGCAGCUCCGGGCAGGUGCCCCUCCAGGAGCGACGGGGCGCGGGAAGGAGGCGCAGGCCACGCCGGGAGCCCGGAGGACGAGGGGCGCCUU